rnacentral:tRNA from 1 species
CGGGGCGUAGCGUAGCCUGGUAGCGCACUUGCAUGGGGUGCAAGGGGUCGAGUGUUCGAAUCACUCCGUCCCGACCA